UACACCCAUAUCAAUGUUGAAGCAUCGGUUCUCUUACGAUCAGCGAAGUUAAGUCACGUUGGGCCUUGUCAGUAUUUAGAUGGGUGACCACUUAAGAAUAUUAGGUGCUGUAA
rnacentral:rRNA from 1 species